UUUUUCAUUUCAAAAAAUAUUAAAACAUGUCAAUCUACGGAUUGAAUACACAAAUAAAAACCUAAUUUAUCUUGUUUUCAAUCUUGCGAAUAAGAAGGGAAAAGCAUGUCAACAUACGGAUUGAAUGCACAAUGUUUACUCUUCCAUUUGCUCAUCCUUCAAUUUUACCUGGAAUUACAUGAAUCAGGCCAUGUGCGUGAUGCUCUAUCCGUGGAUUCUCAGUCUCGCUGCUGUCCUAUAAAAGGAGAGAAAUUCUCUUGUCAACACACGAGGAAGAAGUUGUGAAGCUGAAAAUAGCCAAGCCAGUUACUGCAGGAACUUACGCAAAUAUUUUUGAAUUCUGUGCUGGGAGGUGUCGCCAUAAUUAUGAGAUUGUGUUUGUAGAAAUUUAUUAGUUGCAAAGGAGCAUGCGUAGCAAGUAUGGGAACUGAUCAACCUGCUGAAGUUGCUGACGAUGCUCCUAAACACUUGGAUUCCAAAGAAUCAGAAAUUGUUAGGAACGGGACAAUUACAUAUGUGGCAAAGGAAAUAGAAAUGCUGAAAGGAUAUGCUGAAACAGAAAACGGGAAAUAAUAUUUUUUACAGUAAUAAGUUAUAAAUAUAAAAGUUUUAGUUUUUCAAAAUUAUUUUCGAGAAACGGCAAAAUAUAGGGCUCGGUUAUUUUCCAUGCAACGUAGCGGGAGAAUGUCUCUUAAAUAGGUUAUUUUGAAACUGUACUUUUUAUCAACUGUUUUCACCUUUUAUUUUUACAGAACCCAGGAGCAUGCUUGUACACUCGAACACAGUCGAUGCUUUCCUGUGAUGGUUCACAUCGGCAUACCAGGUAAAUUUGUCCAUGUGCAUAAUGUCUGCUUUGUAACCGGUAAGUGUUGGUUCCUUCUGUAUGUCAGAUGCUGAUACGAGAGUUUCAUUGCAUGUAGCACCAUAAAUUUUUCUGGACCAACCAUCAUUAGUAAUUACUUGAAAAGUGCCAAUGCUGCAACAUUCGUGGUGGAUUUUUCUAAUUCCUUUUUGUCUUCUGGCAAAAGAAGAAGGAUUUUUAAUAUGACCGUGAAUAUUAGUAAUUACUUGAAAAGUGCCAAUGCUGCAACAUUCGUGGUGGAUUUUUCUAAUUCCUUUUUGUCUUCUGGCAAAAGAAGAAGGAUUUUUAAUAUGACCGUGAAUAUUACACGAGUUCUUCGGAUCAUGUGGACCGAGACUGGCUUAAUAACUCUCCGCCGGGGCUUUCCUCUUCAAUACGGACUAUGACAUUAUGAGAACUGUUUUUUCAGGAAGAUGACUUUCAGUCAAUUUUGUAUUGGAAUUUACUAGCAAGUUAGUUCAAUUUAUAGAGGAAAAAAAGAAAAUGAAGAAUCUUCUAUAUAUGUUCGUGAAAUGUCAAAGAAUAUGAAGGUUAUAGUUUCUUUGUGAGAAGGGUUCAAAGGUCGAUAGUCAUGUAGUUUGAUCGUUGGAGAUGAAAUGUGCCCUUUAUGUUUAAAUUAGGGGGUCUAUAGUGUUUCAGAAUUCAGGCUGCAGUUUGGUAGACAUAAAAAUAGAGUUUAAAUUUAGAUGAUGUGUCUAGGAUUACUUUUUUGUUUUCUUUAGUAAUUCUAUUUUGUUUUAUAAUUUUACAGAAAUUUAUUUGAAUUUCACAGAACUAUGUUUUCUUUUUGGCUUAAUUUAUCGUUUGACUCCUAAAUUUGUAUUCA